rnacentral:rRNA from 1 species
GAAACUGCGAAUGGCUCAUUAUAUAAGUUAUCGUUUAUUUGAUAGUACCUUACUACUUGGAUAACCGUGGUAAUUCUAGAGCUAAUACAUGCUAAAAAUCCCGACUUCGGAAGGGAUGUAUUUAUUAGAUUAAAAACCAAUGCCCUCCGGGGCUCACUGGUGAUUCAUGAUAACUCCUCGAAUCGCAUGGCCUUGCGCCGGCGAUGGUUCAUUCAAAUUUCUUCCCUAUCAACUUUCGAUGUUUGGGUAUUGGCCAAACAUGGUUGCAACGGGUAACGGAGGGUUAGGGCUCGACCCCGGAGAAGGAGCCUGAGAAACGGCUACUACAUCCAAGGAAGGCAGCAGGCGCGCAAAUUACCCAAUCCCGACACGGGGAGGUAGUGACAAUAAAUACUGAUACAGGGCUCUUUUGGGUCUUGUAAUUGGAAUGAGUACAAUUUAAAUCCCUUAACGAGGAACAAUUGGAGGGCAAGUCUGGUGCCAGCAGCCGCGGUAAUUCCAGCUCCAAUAGCGUAUAUUAAAGUUGUUGUGGUUAAAAAGCUCGUAGUUGAACCUUGGGCCUGGCUGGCCGGUCCGCCUCAC